GGAAAAAUCAAUCUUGGAGAAUGAAAUCGUGCUACAAGCCUUCAACUUCGUUUCGGACCUAGCAAGCGGAUAACUUCGGAGACGAAACAGGAAAACCGACUUUCAGGAUUGACCCAUUUAGUCGGCAGGGAUCCGCUUUCAUAUAUCCGGACCCGUAUAUAAGCAUCCGUCAAGCACCUCAAACUGCGCAAACACUACCCAAUCGACACCGAGCUUGGCUUAACUCGACGGGAAAUCCCAAACUAAGGAGGAUUCGAAAUUAGGGUUAACCUAGGGUUAGGAUUUUGUGAUCUUCAGAUUCGAGGGAAGUUUGAUUGAUUCUGAAAUUACAAAAUGGAUGUGGACAUGGAGAUACAGAAGACAAAAGAAGAGAGGCAAAAAAUGGAGGAUCUCGCUGCACUCACUUCUCUAACCUUUGAUACUGAUCUAUAUAGUUCGAACAAGUUUGACGGUUAUGAUCAAUCCAUCCCAGUGAAUGAUGAUGAUGAUGCUUUUGAUGCUACUGAGAAUGAGAUUGCUAAGAAGAUGGCAUCUUUCACUGCUCCGAAACAGUUUUUUAAGGAGCCCCUGAGAACUGGGGGCGAUGAUGAGAUGUCAGGAUUUAAGCAACCUGGGAAGAUAAUCGAUCGGGAGGAUGAUUAUAGGAGGAGGAGGCUGAACAGGAUUAUAUCCCCUGAAAGGAAUGAUCCGUUCUUGGAUAAGACUCCGGGGCCUGAAGUGAGAACUUAUGCUGAUGUUAUGAGGGAAGAAGCAUUAAAGCGGAAGGAGGAGGAUGUGAAGAGGGAGAUAGCAAAGAAGAAGGAAGAGGAGGCAGCUGUGAAGGAAAAAGCAAAAGAGAGAGAGGCAGAGAAGCCGAAGAAGAGGAAUAGGUGGGAUGUGUCGCAGGAUGAGAAUCGUGGUGAUAAGAAAGCUAAGGCAGGCUCAGAUUGGGAUUUGCCUGACUCUACCCCAGGAAUUGCAAGGUGGGAUGCAACUCCAACUCCUGGGAGGAUUGGGGAUGCAACACCGUCAAUUUCAAGGAAAAAUAGGUGGGAUGAGACCCCUACUCCAGGACGAUUGAAUGAUUCAGAUGCAACCCCGGCUGCUGGCGGGGCUACUCCUGGAGCAACCCCUGCAGGAAUGACUUGGGAUGCCACACCGAAGCUGGCAGGGUUGGCUACACCAACACCCAAAAGGCAGAGGUCGAGGUGGGAUGAGACUCCUGCCACUGUGGGCAGUGCAACACCGAUGGGAGGCGCUACCCCUGCUGCUGCCUUUACCCCUGGCGUCACUCCUGUUGGUGCUAUAGAUAUUGCUACCCCAACACCGAAUGCUAUCAUGCGUAAUGCUGCAAUGACUCCUGAGCAGUACAAUUUGAUGAGGUGGGAGAAAGAUAUUGAGGAAAGGAAUAGGCCAUUAACGGACGAGGAGCUUGAUGCAAUAUUUCCAAAGGAAGGGUAUAAGAUUUUGGAACCCCCUGCUUCAUAUGUUCCAAUCAGAACUCCUGCCAGAAAGCUUCUUGCUACACCUACACCAAUGUCGACUCCACUGUAUUCUAUUCCAGAAGAAAAUCGGGGUCAGCAGUUUGAUGUGCCAAAAGAGUUGCCUGGUGGUUUGCCAAUGAUGAAGCCUGAGGAUUAUCAGUACUUUGGUGCACUUCUAAAUGAAGAAGAUGAAGAGGUGUUGUCUCCAGAAGAGCAAAAAGAGCGGAAGAUCAUGAAACUCUUGCUUAAGGUUAAAAACGGUACACCUCCACAGAGAAAAACUGCUCUGAGACAGCUCACGGAUAAGGCAAGGGAAUUUGGUGCUGGUCCACUGUUCAACCGUAUUCUGCCACUGCUCAUGCAGCCCACACUGGAAGAUCAGGAGAGACACUUGUUAGUGAAAGUUAUUGACAGGGUGCUCUAUAAGUUGGAUGAGUUGGUUCGACCAUAUGUACACAAAAUUUUGGUGGUCAUAGAGCCUUUGUUGAUUGAUGAAGAUUAUUAUGCUCGGGUGGAAGGUAGAGAAAUUAUUUCCAAUCUCAGCAAGGCCGCUGGUUUGGCGACUAUGAUUGCUGCAAUGCGUCCAGACAUUGAUAACAUUGAUGAGUAUGUGAGGAACACUACUGCUAGAGCUUUUAGUGUUGUUGCUUCUGCACUUGGUAUUCCUGCAUUGCUGCCAUUCUUGAAAGCUGUGUGUCAGAGCAAAAAAUCUUGGCAAGCUCGUCACACAGGUAUCAAGAUUGUGCAGCAGAUUGCAAUAUUAAUUGGAUGUGCCGUUCUUCCACACUUGAGGUCAUUGGUUGAGAUUAUCGAACAUGGUCUUAAUGAUGAAAAUCAGAAGGUCAGAACAAUCACAGCUCUGUCAUUGGCUGCCCUUGCUGAAGCAUCUGCGCCAUAUGGCAUUGAAAGCUUUGACUCAGUGUUGAAGCCUCUGUGGAAGGGUAUAAGGUCACACCGUGGGAAAGUCUUGGCUGCAUUCCUGAAGGCUAUUGGAUUUAUCAUACCACUUAUGGAUGCCAUAUAUGCCAGCUACUACACCAAGGAAGUUAUGAUUAUUCUGAUUCGUGAGUUUCAGUCUCCAGAUGAAGAAAUGAAGAAAAUUGUGCUGAAAGUGGUAAAGCAGUGUGUGAGUACAGAAGGUGUGGAGGCAGAUUAUAUCCGAAAUGAUAUACUUCCGGAGUUCUUCCGUAAUUUCUGGGUAAGGAGGAUGGCUUUGGAUAGGAGAAAUUACAGGCAGCUUGUUGAGACUACAGUGGAGAUUGCAAACAAAGUUGGUGUUGCUGAUAUAGUAGGAAGAAUCGUUGAAGACUUGAAAGAUGAAAGUGAGCCAUAUAGAAGGAUGGUCAUGGAGACGAUUGAGAAAGUGGUUGCAAACUUGGGGGCAUCUGAUAUUGAUGCUCGCUUGGAAGAGCUAUUAAUUGACGGAAUUCUCUAUGCAUUCCAAGAGCAAACAAGUGAUGAUGCUAAUGUUAUGCUAAAUGGGUUUGGUGCCGUUGUGAAUUCCCUUGGACAGAGAGUGAAGCCAUACCUUCCUCAGAUAUGUGGUACUAUAAAAUGGCGGCUCAACAAUAAGAGUGCAAAAGUGAGGCAGCAAGCAGCAGAUCUGAUAUCUAGAAUUGCUGUGGUGAUGAAACAGUGUGGAGAAGAACAAUUGAUGGGCCAUCUUGGUGUGGUAUUAUAUGAGUAUUUAGGAGAGGAGUAUCCUGAAGUCCUGGGCUCAAUAUUGGGCGCUCUCAAAGCCAUAGUCAAUGUUAUCGGUAUGACUAAGAUGACUCCUCCUAUCAAAGAUUUGCUUCCACGGCUGACUCCAAUCUUGAAGAAUCGCCAUGAAAAAGUCCAGGAGAACUGUAUCGACCUUGUUGGAAGAAUUGCUGAUCGUGGGGCUGAGUUUGUACCUGCUAGGGAAUGGAUGAGAAUAUGUUUUGAACUUCUUGAGAUGCUCAAAGCACAUAAGAAGGGUAUUCGUAGAGCAACUGUGAAUACUUUUGGUUAUAUUGCAAAAGCUAUUGGGCCACAAGAUGUUCUUGCAACGUUGUUAAAUAACCUCAAGGUGCAGGAACGGCAGAACCGUGUGUGCACGACCGUGGCCAUUGCAAUUGUUGCAGAAACCUGUUCGCCGUUUACAGUUUUGCCUGCAUUGAUGAAUGAGUACCGUGUGCCGGAGCUUAAUGUUCAGAAUGGUGUUCUGAAGUCGCUCUCCUUCCUUUUCGAGUACAUUGGCGAGAUGGGGAAAGACUACAUAUAUGCAGUGACUCCAUUACUUGAGGAUGCUCUCAUGGACAGAGAUUUGGUUCAUAGGCAAACUGCAGCUUCAGCAGUCAAGCAUAUGGCAUUGGGGGUCGCUGGUCUAGGAUGUGAAGAUGCUUUGGUCCACCUGCUGAACUAUGUCUGGCCUAACAUUUUCGAGACAUCCCCACACGUUAUUAAUGCAGUCAUGGAAGCUGUCGAAGGAAUGAGGGUUGCAUUGGGAGCUUCUGUUAUUCUGAACUAUUGUCUUCAGGGACUGUUCCAUCCGGCUAGAAAGGUCAGGGAAGUGUAUUGGAAGAUCUAUAAUUCGCUCUACAUCGGUGCUCAGGAUGCACUUGUGUCUGCUUAUCCCAUUUUGGAGGACGAGGGAAAUAAUUCAUUCAGCAGACCUGAAUUGCAUAUGUUCGUCUGAUUUUGUCUGCUGUUUUAAGCAAAUGAAAGAGCUGUAUCCUUACUGAAAAAGCGAGUUACUUCUGUUUAUUUAGGAUGUUUCUUGGAGACUUAGAUGUAUCUGCUUGAUAUGAUAUUAAAUAAACUUUGGCAACAUUGUAGUACCUUGCAUUUGGACCCACUCGAUUUUAAUUUUAUGAGAGAUUUUCCUAUUAGAUCA